rnacentral:rRNA from 1 species
UACAUGAGGUGCAAACGUUGCUCGGAAUUAUUGGGCGUAAAGCGCACGUAGGCGGUUUGUUAAGUCGGAUGUGAAAUCCCUCGGCUCAACUGAGGAAGUGCAUCCGAAACUGGCAAGCUUGAGUACGAAAGAGGGUCGCGGAAUUCCCGGUGUAGAGGUGAAAUUCGUAGAUAUCGGGAGGAACACCGGUGGCGAAGGCGGCGACCUGGGUCGAUACUGACGCUGAGGUGCGAAAGCGUGGGGAGCAAACAGG